rnacentral:rRNA from 1 species
GAUCCUGGCUCAGGAUGAACGCUAGCGGCAGGCCUAAUACAUGCAAGUCGGACGGGAUCCAUCGGAGAGCUUGCUCGAAGAUGGUGAGAGUGGCGCACGGGUGCGUAACGCGUGAGCAACCUACCUCUAUCAGGGGGAUAGCCUCUCGAAAGAGAGAUUAACACCGCAUAAUAUCAACAGUUCGCAUGUUCGGUUGAUUAAAUAUUUAUAGGAUAGAGAUGGG